GGGGGAUUAGCUCAGUUGGUAGAGCGCGACAAUGGCAUUGUCGAGGUCAGGGGUUCGACCCCCCUAUCCUCCACCA
rnacentral:tRNA from 1 species